AGAGAGGGAUGGAUUUGGGGUAGGGAUGGAUUUCACGAAGAGAGAGAGGGAUGGAUUUGGGAUAGGGAUGGAUUUCACGAAGAGAGAGAGGGAUGGAUUUGGAACCCUAAUUUCUAGUUUAUGCCAUGCUGGAGACCUAAUGAAGAUUCACAUGUGAAAAUAAAAAAAUUAAAAAGCCACGUCUGAAAUAAAAAACCAAGAUUCCAUGCCACCUGGAUAUUAGGGGGUUCUAUGAAGGAAUCUACAUAACAUAAGGGGGGUAUUGAAAAAAUAACUUUACCAGGGGGUAACCCUAAACUCGCUAACAUUACAGGGGGGUAAAGUGUAUUUAACCC
rnacentral:lncRNA from 1 species